ACAGAGAUUAGCCCAUCACCGAAGCCUGCGCUGUUUAGCGUAAGGCAAUGUGGUGUUCAGGUGUAGACCUGGGUUCGGUCAUUGACUCUAAGUCCAUUCUUGAAAUGGCUGCUAAAACGGGUGAUAGCCCCGUACGAGUCAAUGUUGUGCAUACCGAGCCUCAGAUGUCUAUGCCUUGGAGUCGGAUUGUUUGAGAAUGCAGUCCAAAGUUGGUGGUAAACUCCAUCAAAGGCUAAAUACCUGCGUGAGUCCGAUAGCUAACAAGUACCGUGAGGGAAAGUUGAAAAGUACUCUAAAUAGAGAGUAAAUAGUACGUGAAACUACAUGGAGGUUAACCGAACGGAGUCAGACUUCUCGACUGCUGCGAUUUAACUGGGGAGAUUAUGAAGGUCAGCUUUGCCUCGGGUUUGCUUAAACUCUAUCGUGUACCUUUAUUACACCGAACGAGUUCGAUGCAAGAGCUGAUUCCCUAGUGAUUUUGUGGUGGUUAGCAGCUCAUUCAGUGUCUCUUUCCUGUUUGCUUGACGAACAUGAUGAGUUUCGAGCAAUCGGAGCAUGUCAUGAUGGCAGUAGUUUGGGUUCGCCCUUUCUUGUUGUCUUGCUAAGUGGGAUAGGAGUUCACUGGUUGAUUGGAGUUGUAACGAUGAUCUGAAUUGGUGCUGAUGCGGUGUAUCGUCACAAAGUGAGGUGCG
rnacentral:rRNA from 1 species